rnacentral:rRNA from 1 species
UACGGAGGGUGCAAGCGUUAUCCGGAUUCACUGUGUUUAAAGGGUGCGUAGGAGGGCAGGUAAGUCAGUGGUGAAAUCUCCAAGCUUAACUUGGAAACUGCCGUUGAUACUAUCUGUCUUGAAUAUUGUGGAGGUGAGCGGAAUAUGUCAUGUAGCGGUGAAAUGCUUAGAUAUGACAUAGAACACCAAUUGCGAAGGCAGCUCACUACACAAUCAUUGACUCUGAGGCACGAAAGCGUGGGGAUCAAACAGG